ACGCUGGCGGCACGCCUAACACAUGCAAGUCGAACGAAGUAGCAAUACUUAGUGGCAGACGGGUGAGUAACAUGUAGGUAUCUGCCCUUUGGCCUGGAAUAACACGAGGAAACUUGUGCUAAUACCGGAUAAGUCUUUACGGAGAAAGCUUUAUGCACCAUUGGAUGAGCCUGCACUUGAUUAGUUUGUUGGUGGGGUAAUGGCCUACCAAGACUGUGAUCAAUAGCUGAUUUGAGAGGAUGAUCAGCCACAUUGGGACUGAGACACGGCCCAAACUCCUACGGGAGGCAGCAGUGGGGAAUCUUGCACAAUGGAGGAAACUCUGAUGCAGCGAUGCCGCGUGAGUGAAGAAGGCCCUUGGGUUGUAAAGCUCUUUCGUCGGGGAAGAAAAUGACUGUACCCGAAUAAGAAGGUCCGGCUAACUUCGUGCCAGCAGCCGCGGUAAUACGAAGGGACCUAGCGUAGUUCGGAAUUACUGGGCUUAAAGAGUUCGUAGGUGGUUGAAAAAGUUAGUGGUGAAAUCCCAGAGCUUAACUCUGGAACUGCCAUUAAAACUUUUCAGCUAGAGUAUGAUAGAGGAAAGCAGAAUUUCUAGUGUAGAGGUGAAAUUCGUAGAUAUUAGAAAGAAUACCAAUUGCGAAGGCAGCUUUCUGGAUCAUUACUGACACUGAGGAACGAAAGCAUGGGUAGCGAAGAGGAUUAGAUACCCUCGUAGUCCAUGCCGUAAACGAUGUGUGUUAGACGUUGGAAAUUUAUUUUCAGUGUCGCAGGGAAACCGAUAAACACACCGCCUGGGGAGUACGACCGCAAGGUUAAAACUCAAAUGAAUUGACGGGGACCCGCACAAGUAGUGGAGCAUGUGGUUUAAUUCGAAGAUACGCGCAGAACCUUACCAACACUUGACAUGUUCGUCGCGACUCUAAGAGAUUAGAGUUUUCGGUUCGGCCGGACGAAACACAGGUGCUGCAUGGCUGUCGUCAGCUCGUGUCGUGAGAUGUUGGGUUAAGUCCCGCAACGAGCGCAACCCUCACUUUUAGUUGCCAUCAUUAAGUUGGGCACUCUGAAAGAACUGCCAGUGAUAAGCUGGAGGAAGGUGGGGAUGACGUCAAGUCCUCAUGGCCCUUACGUGUUGGGCUACACACGUGCUACAAUGGUAUCUACAACAGGAAGCAAGACUGCGAAGUUAAGCAAAUCUCUAAAAGAUACCUCAGUUCGGAUUGCACUCUGCAACUCGAGUGCAUGAAGCUGGAAUUACUAGUAAUCGUGGAUCAGCGUGCCACGGUGAAUGCGUUCCCGGGUCUUGUACACACCGCCCGUCACACCAUGGGAGUUGGUUCUACCUUAAGGCAAGGUUUCAAACCCUUGACCACGGUAUAGUCAGCGACUGGGGUGAAGUCGUAACAAGGUA
rnacentral:rRNA from 1 species